ensembl:lncRNA
CCCCAGUCCAUAUAGUUAUAGAUCAGUCCCCCCCCAGUCCAUAUAGUUAUAGAUCAGUCCCCCCAGUCCAUGUAGUUAUGGAUCAGUCCCCCCAGUCCAUAUAGUUAUAGAUUAGUCCCCACCCCCCAGUCCAUAUAGUUAUAGAUCAUUCCCCCCCCAGUCCAUGUAGUUAUGGAUCAGUCCCCUCCCCCAGUCCAUAUAGUUAUAGAUCAGUCCCCCCAGUCCAUAUAGUUAUAGAUUAGUCCCCACCCCCCAGUCCAUAUAGUUAUAGAUCAGUCCCCCCCCAGUCCAUAUAGUUAUAGAUCAGUCCCCACCCCCAGUCCAUAUAGUUAUAGAUCAGCCCCCCACCCCCCAGUCCAUAUAGUUAUAGAUCAGCCC